UGAUGUCAGCACUUCAAUACAGGAG
rnacentral:misc_RNA from 1 species